UUAAAGUAUGGGAUGUGGGGUUUUUAUUUUUAUGUCUUUGAUUCUUCUGCUUUCUCCCCCCUCAGCUUUUGCCAUCAGGUUCCAAUCAGAAUUUUACUGCUCUAUUUUUACCUCCUGUCUGUAAAAGCAGCAAAAAGCCCUAUUUUUCCCCUCUUGUGUAGAAGGAAAAAAAAAAAAAAAGAAGAUAAAUGGAUGUUACAUAAAUGGAGCCAGGGAGGGAGGUAGGAGACAUCCAGCGCUGCUGGAUGGGAAGGUUGUGGGGAAAGAAAGGAUGGAAUAGCUUGGCCUGAUCCAUCCUGCAUUGCCAGGAGUCACUGGUGAAAGAAAGGAUCUCUUCACAAUGCCUGGAGAUGGAGGAAGGCUGCUCUAGGAAGGGAAAGGAGACCUGUGGCAAGACAUGACCCUGAUUGAUAAUGGAAAAGUGAGGUUCCCUACAGAAAAAUCACACCCCAAAACCCCCAAAAUCCUGUACCCAGUAAAAUCAGUGGGGAGUUGUGCAAUGAACUCUACUGACACCAGGCUAUGGCUUUUACCAAUAUAUUCAUUAUAGGUUUGGUUUUACAAAUGGAGCUGCGAGGGGAAGGGUUGGGCUGGAGAAUGGCUCUAUUUACAAGGGUUUAUGGAGCAUGCAGGAGGGAAUUCUGGAGCCUUCCAAAAAGCUUCAAGGAGCCAGACAAUCAUUGUCCAUGAGGUGUCCAGAAGGGCCUGGAGUCUGCUGGGGGUUUGUGGCACAUGGGUGAAGAAAAGAGGGGAUAUACCUGGUUUGGGGUUGUGGGUUUGGGGCUGUGGGUUUGGGGCUGUGGGUCUGGGCUCAGUGGAGGCACCACUCUGCCCCGUGCUCCCCCCAUGUCUCCCCUCCACCUCCAUCUGCCCACACUCACUCCAGUACAAUCCCAGGCACAAAAUGAGUAUUCCUUGGUGGCAAGGAACAUUUAGACUUUUUUUUUUUUCCCACAGCUGACACCUUUCCACAGACCCCUGAGACCUAAAAGUGGGGAUGAGUUUCCUCAAAAUGAUCUCCAAGCUUGUUAUGUGCAAUGCCCAGCACAAAAAACAUGUCUGGGCUCCCCAGCACUGAGAAUCCCACCCCGGAAUAUCCCACAGAUAUUCUGCUGCUGCCCUAUAGCAAAUGCAAAUCUCUCCAUCUUCUGGGAGACAGAAUCAUUUUUAAUGGAGUAUUCUGCAGUUCACCUCUAUUGGUCACAGCAGAACAGAAAUGCGGGAGUUGUGUAUUUGGGAAAGUCAGAAAAAACCAACUUGGCUGCUGUGGAAAAGGUGUUGUCUUUGGGAUGGAGGGGACACCAGGAAAAUGGCAGGAAAAGGUGGAGGUGGGAGACAGAGACACCUAAAAGUGACUUGAGUUUAAAGGGGUGAUGGGAGGCAGAACAAGGAGCAGCAGAUUUUUAAAUUAGGCUGCUAAAAAUA